rnacentral:rRNA from 1 species
UGGGGAAUAUUGCACAAUGGGGGAAACCCUGAUGCAGCGACGCCGCGUGAACGAAGAAGGUAUUCGUAUCGUAAAGUUCUUUCCUAUGGGAAGAUAAUGACAGUACCAUAGAAGAAAGCUCCGGCUAAAUACGUGCCAGCAGCCGCGGUAAUACGUAUGGAGCGAGCGUUGUCCGGAAUUAUUGGGCGUAAAGGGUACGCAGGCGGUUUAAGAAGUCGAAUGUUAAAGAUCGGGGCUCAACCCCGCAAAGCAUUGGAAACUGAUAAACUUGAGUAGUGGAGAGGAAAGUGGAAUUCCUAGUGUAGUGGUGAAAUACGUAGAUAUUAGGAGGAAUACCAGUAGCGAAGGCGACUUUCUGGACACAAACUGACGCUGAGGUACGAAAGCGUGGGGAGCAAACAGG